CAUCGGUAUCCGUGCGCUUGCGGAUUUUUCUAUUUGCGUUUAAAAUACCCAACAUCCACCCACUUCCAUCUCCAGAACCACCUAAAAGUAUUCUUCUCCUAAUCCGGGAGAGAAUAGCCAAAAACAUUUCUGUUUUUCCCCUGUGAAAUAAAUGCUCAAGUUAUCUUGGUUACUACCACUUGCUAUAUUAUUUCAGGAGAUGAGUGCUCUAAAAAAAGAGAAAAAGAGAUACGAGGAAAUAAAAAGGGGCACGUGCUCGGAACCUCGAAAGAAAAGAAAAAGUGAGACGAGAGGUAAAAAUGGACAAGUGUCCGACAGUAGAAUUAGGGGUACAAGAUACCCACCUAAGAGGAAAGAAAACGAAAAGAAGAGCAUCUCAUUCUCCUCAAAAAGUGUCAAAAGAGCAAGAAAGGUAUGCAUCCCCUCAAAAGAGCAAAAGUAGAAUUAGACUUUCACCAUUGUUAUCGCCAUCAUCACCAUACACCAUUCAUUCGCCACACAU
rnacentral:lncRNA from 1 species